rnacentral:tRNA from 1 species
GCCCCUGUAGUCCAACCGGCAGAGACACCGCGCUUAAACCGCGGCCAGUGUGGGUUCGAGUCCCACCGGGGGCA